UUAUUUGGGUGUUAAAUUAAGAAAAUCACAUUUCUAAUAAGAAUCAGAGUUGUGCAUGGCCCCUGCACAAGGAUGACAUGCAAAUUCGUGAAGCGUUCCAUAUUUAA